rnacentral:rRNA from 1 species
UACGUAGGGGGCAAGCGUUGUCCGGAUUUAUUGGGCGUAAAGAGCGUGUAGGCGGUCAGGUAGGUCCGUUGUGAAAACUCGAGGCUCAACCUCGAGACGCCGAUGGAAACCAUCUGACUAGAGUCCGGAAGAGGAGAGUGGAAUUCCUGGUGUAGCGGUGAAAUGCGCAGAUAUCAGGAAGAACACCCGUGGCUAAGGCGGGUCUCUGGGCCGAUAUUGACGCUGAGGAGCGAAAGCGUGGGGAGCGAACAGG